CUCAUUCUACAUCCUCCCAGGGUGCAGUAUUCCUUGAAGGCAUCACGGUGAAAGGCGUCUCACAGUUCACCACACAACCCAAACUCGGAGAGAUCCAACGAAUGUGUCAGAGGAUGGCCGAGUGGGAGAGGUCUGGUUUCCCUGGGGCUCAGCCUGUGUCCAUGGACAGGACAAACCUUCGUUUCAUGGAACAGAAACCAUACAAAGUCAGCUGGAAGGCUGACGGCACACGGUAUAUGAUGUUGAUCAAACAAUAAACAUUCG